AACGAACGCUGGCGGCGUGCCUCAUACAUGCAAGUCGAACGAGAAAGCCCGGCUUCGGUUGGGUUAGUAAAGUGGCGCACGGGUGCGUAACACGUGAGGAACAUGCCCCUAUGUUGGGGAUAAGCCUGCGAAAGCGGGUCUAAUACCGGAUGUUGUCAUUGGAUCGCAUGGUUCGAUGAUUAAAGGCGGUUGAGUCUAUGCCGCCGCAUAGGGAUUGUCUCGCGGCCCAUUAGCUUGUUGGCGGUGUAAUGGACCACCAAGGCUCCGAUGGGUAGCCGACCUGAGAGGGUGACCGGCCACACUGGGACUGAGAUACGGCCCAGACUCCUACGGGAGGCAGCAGUAGGGAAUAUUGGACAAUGGGGGAAACCCUGAUCCAGCAACGCCGCGUGGAUGAUGAAGCUUUUUGGAGUGUAAAAUCCUGUCAGUGGGGACGAAACGUCCGGGUAGGAAAUGACCCGGGCCUGACUGUACCCGCAGAGGAAGUUCCGGCCAACUCCGUGCCAGCAGCCG
rnacentral:rRNA from 1 species